AAUUUCAUUUGCUCUGGGGCGAGUCACUGGCUCGGGUGCAUUCUGGGACUGUCAGUUCACCAGUGUGCUGGCAUGCUUCUUAACAAACACACCACUACAGCAAACAUCUAUUGUACUUGUUGAUUUCUUCGACAAAACACUGAACAAAACAUGUCCUUGUGAGUGUGCUGCCUGGUGCUUUUAAAUUUUGUGAUAAUUUGAGCAGCCCAGAAAGCAUCCCAUAAAUUAAAUUAUGUUAUCGUAUCUGAACAUGUACACUAGUCAUUAAAUUAGAUGGGAAAUAAUGAUUCAGGGUAAACAACUGCACCAAGGAAAUUCCAUUUUUCUUCUCAAAAUGUAAAAUGUCUGUUGAAAAAUCACAUUGAACAGAGAUGUGAUUAACUUUUUAUUUUACCAAACAUAACAUCAAUGAUGACACAAUCAGUCUUCAUCAGAAGUGCUCAAAUCACUCUCAGUGGCAUCGUCUGGAAUGUCCUCCUCCUCCUCCGAGUCCAUUUCCAGGAGUGGUUGGUGGCUGAGGAUUCUCUUGUACACGUCCUUUACUUUGAGCAUUUCAGCUUUCAGUUCACUUUGUUUUUUUAAAACCAGGCUACAGAGUCCCUUCUGUGCAUCCUCCGACAUGCCAACAAAGGAGGCUGUAAAAAGAACAAAACAAAUAAAUGAGAAAAGUAAAAAAAACAAACAAACAAAAAAACAUCACCUCAUAAACACAAGGAAUUAGGAUGCUGUAAUUAAACAUUUUUUUAAAAGGGAGAAGGCAGUGUUAGCUAGCAAUCUAGAUAUAGGUAAAAGAUCCAGUAAGACUUUAGCAUCUGCUCUUAUUUUCAAUCGAUUCAUCAAAAAAUUAAUAAAUAAAUAAAGUGCUUACAGUCUGAGGAGAUUGUCCCCAACACCACAGAACGCAUUCGCAACACUGUCCAGUGAUGCUGCAUCUCCCUGCAGAGCAUCAUCUCCUCCUCUCUCAGGCGCCUCACAGCCAUCACCUUCUCAAAGACCUUUCUCUUUGUCCGGAGGUCAGCAGCAGCUACAGUUUAACAACAUCAGAUGGGAAAACAUAGCAGCAUAUUAUGAUUCAAGAACAAAACAUUC
ensembl:lncRNA